ACCCACACAGGUGUAGUGGCUCCUUCUUCCAGGUGUAUAAAGGAUGAUGUCAUGGGAUGUUUGUUGAUGAGGGCGCGGCAGCGUAGCCUAGUGGUUAGAGCAUUGGACUAGUAACCGAAAUGUUGCAAGUUCAAAUCCCCGAGCUGACAAGGUACAAAAUCUGUCGUUCUGCCCCUGAACAGGCAGUUAACCCACUGUUCCUUGGCCGUCAUUGAAAAUAAGAAUUUGUUCUUAACUGACUUGCCUAGUAAAAUAAAAAAAAUAUUGAUAUUAUAAUUGCCUACAAAUGUUAUCAGUGUCUCAAAACUCUCUUUGAUUGGGCCUCAAUGUGUUUUUAAAAUCUGUUAUUUGUGACAUUGAAACGUUCUGUCUGUCUGUGUAUCAGGAGAGAAGCCGUUCCAGUGUUCUGAGUGUGGGAAAGGUUUCACUGCGCAGGGUUACCUUAAGAUCCACCAGCGCAUCCACACAGGGGAGAAACCGUACCAGUGCUCCCAGUGUCAGAAAAGCUUCUCCCGGCUGGCCCACUAUAAAGACCACCAGCAGACUCACCGGGAGGAGAAACCGUACCACUGCAAUGACUGUGGGAAAAGCUUCUCCUACUUCAAGUCGCUCAAGUGCCACCAGAUGAUCCACAAAGGGGAGAACCUCCACCACUGCUCCGUAUGCGGUAAAGGGUUCGCCAUCCGCGGCAACCUGAAGACCCAUCUGCAGACACACACCAAGGAGAAACCACACCAAUGCUCAGAGUGCGGGAAACGGUUCUCCCGAGCCCACGACCUGAAGAAACACAAGCUGCUCCACA